AUGCCCCGCGCGGGAGAGACCCCGGACUGGAUCCGGGGCGCCGAAGGAGCAACCACCCCGGAAUCUCUCAGGCACCAGGGACCGCGCGAGGAUA
rnacentral:ncRNA from 2 species